CUCAGAUUGAACGCUGGCGGCAGGCCUAACACAUGCAAGUCGAGCGGUAGCACAGAGAGCUUGCUCUCGGGUGACGAGCGGCGGACGGGUGAGUAAUGUCUGGGAAACUGCCUGAUGGAGGGGGAUAACUACUGGAAACGGUAGCUAAUACCGCAUAACGUCGCAAGACCAAAGAGGGGGACCUUCGGGCCUCUUGCCAUCAGAUGUGCCCAGAUGGGAUUAGCUAGUAGGUGGGGUAACGGCUCACCUAGGCGACGAUCCCUAGCUGGUCUGAGAGGAUGACCAGCCACACUGGAACUGAGACACGGUCCAGACUCCUACGGGAGGCAGCAGUGGGGAAUAUUGCACAAUGGGCGCAAGCCUGAUGCAGCCAUGCCGCGUGUAUGAAGAAGGCCUUCGGGUUGUAAAGUACUUUCAGCGGGGAGGAAGGUGUUGAGGUUAAUAACCUCAGCAAUUGACGUUACCCGCAGAAGAAGCACCGGCUAACUCCGUGCCAGCAGCCGCGGUAAUACGGAGGGUGCAAGCGUUAAUCGGAAUUACUGGGCGUAAAGCGCACGCAGGCGGUCUGUCAAGUCGGAUGUGAAAUCCCCGGGCUCAACCUGGGAACUGCAUUCGAAACUGGCAGGCUAGAGUCUUGUAGAGGGGGGUAGAAUUCCAGGUGUAGCGGUGAAAUGCGUAGAGAUCUGGAGGAAUACCGGUGGCGAAGGCGGCCCCCUGGACAAAGACUGACGC
rnacentral:rRNA from 1 species